rnacentral:rRNA from 1 species
UAAAGUGACUGCCGGUGCAAGCCGGAGGAAGGUGGGGAUGACGUCAAAUCAUCAUGCCCCUUAUGACCUGGGCUACACACGUGCUACAAUGGAUAGUACAAAGGGUCGCGAAGCCGCGAGGUGGAGCUAAUCCCAUAAAACUAUUCUCAGUUCGGAUUGUAGGCUGCAACUCGCCUACAUGAAGCCGGAAUCGCUAGUAAUCGUGGAUCAGCAUGCCACGGUGAAUACGUUCCCGGGCCUUGUACACACCGCCCGUCACACCACGAGAGUUUGUAACACCCGAAGUCGGUAGGGUAACCUUUAUGGAGCCAGCCGCCGAAGGUGGGACAGAUAAUUGGGGUGAAGUCGUAACAAGGUAGCCGUAUCGGAAGGUGCGGCUGGAUCACCUCCUUUCUAAGGAA